rnacentral:rRNA from 1 species
CCUACGGGCGGCAGCAGUGGGGGAUAUUGCACAAUGGGGGAAACCCUGAUGCAGCGACGCCGCGUGUGGGAAGACGGUCCUCUGGAUUGUAAACCACUGUCCUCAGGGACGAAGAUGACGGUACCUGGGGAGGAAGCUCCGGCUCUCUACGUGCCAGCAGCCGCGGUACUACGUAGGGGGCGAGCGGUGUCCGGAAUUACUGGGUGUAAAGGGAGCGUUGGCGGGGCUGAAAGUUGGGUGUAAAGUCUACCGGCUAAACUGGUAGCUGCGUGCGAAACUUCUUGUCUUGAGUGAAGUAGAGGCAGGCGGAAUGCCUGGUGUAGCGGUGAAAUGCGUAGAUAUUAGGAGGAACACCGGUGGCGAAGGCGGCCUGCUGGGCUUUAACUGACGCUGAGGCACGAAAGCGUGGGGAGCGAACAGGAUUAGAUACCCUUGUAGUC